GCCUCAGGAAAAAAUUCACAGGGCUCACAAGAGUAAUGACAAGACAGCUGAUGACUGAAAGAUUUUUCCAAGUAUAAAAGGGAGAAAAAGGUUGACAUAUUCACUUACCUGAUCAUUAAGUAAAAGAAGAGCUUCCUCUUCUGAUUCAUGAAGUUUCUGGGGUGGCCUUAAAGCUUUCAAGCAUUUUUUCAGAUUAGAAGUAGAUACCUGACUAGAACGCCCUUCUUGUCUUCUCCCUCUGGUGAAAUACUACCUAUCCUCCCGAGCCCACAUAGAAUACUGUCUCUUCUGUGAACCCUCUAGAUAGAAUUAAUUGCUGCCCCA